CAUUACCUAAUAUCCAGCCUAUGUAAGAGAGUGAAGAGCUUCAUUGAAAAGUUAUUCAAUCUAUAUGGAGCACCUACUUUGUACAAAUAACUAGAGAAAUAGAAAGUGCUGCCCAGAAGUAAUAAAGGGGCUUCUGCAUUUGCAGCUGAUAGUCAUCUCAUCUCUGCUGAGGGAUUUUAUGUCUGCAAUCAGCAAAAACAAGAUUCGAAAGGACAUGUUCCAAAAGCCAGAAGAAAGGAUGCCCCCUGUCCCUGGAGAUUAGAACUGGAAAAGACUUCCAUUUUCUGAUUUAUUCUAAUUUGACUUUUUAUGAAAAUUUUUAUAAUUAUAGG
ensembl:lncRNA